rnacentral:rRNA from 1 species
GACGUAGGGGGCCAGCGUUGUUCGGAAUUACUGGGUGUAAAGGGUUCGUAGGCGGUGUGGCAAGUCGGGAGUGAAAUCUCUGGGCUCAACUCAGAGACUGCUUCCGAAACUGCUGUGCUGGAGUGUGGGAGAGGCGCGUGGAAUUGCAGGUGUAGCGGUGAAAUGCGUAGAUAUCAGGAGGAACACCGGUGGCGAAGGCGGGUCUCUGGGCCGAUACUGACGCUGAGGAGCGAAAGCGUGGGGAGCGAACAGG